AUCUAUCAAUUUGCUAAAGCUAUCAAGGAAACUUAAAACUUACAAGGAAGUGGUGAAAGGAAAAUAUGUGUCCAAUUUACCCAGAGAUAAUUUGGUGGUGAUGUGAAGAAUGAAUUCAAGACUUGAGUUGAAGACCCAAUUUAUUGUGAUAAUCCAGCUUGUCAGAACACAGAGAUACAUAGCAAACAAAAUUCAUAAUGAUGGCAGCCAUGACUUUGGGAGCAUAAUAAUGGUCAUCAUGAACUUGGGAGCAUUCCAAAAGUGCAUGUGUGCUAGGUGUAAAGGACAAAAGGAGAACAAUUUAAUAGUUCCUGACUUCAUGGAGUUCUAUGAAGAAAGGAAGAUGAGAUACCCAGAUCCUGUGAGUUUCUAACAACACAAGAUUCAGGAAAUAUUUAAUGUAAAAUGUGGCACUAGAAUUGUGUUUCAAGGUUUAAAAAUUGUUUUAAUAACUUUUACACCCCUUUAUUUCCAAAUAUG
rnacentral:lncRNA from 1 species